rnacentral:tRNA from 1 species
UUAGCUCAGUUGGUAGAGCGCUCCACUGAAAAUGUAAAGGUCCCUGGUUCGAUACCAGGA